GACGAACCGUGCAAACGUUGUUCGGAAUCACUGGGCUUAAAGGGCGCGUAGGCGGGCAAGCAAGUCGAAGGUGAAAUCCCACGGCUCAACCGUGGAAGUGCCCCCGAUACUGCUUGUCUUUGAGGGAGAUAGAGGCGUGCGGAACUUCCGGUGGAGCGGUGAAAUGCGUAGAUAUCGGAAGGAACACCGGUGGCGAAAGCGGCGCGCUGGAUCUCUUCUGACGCUGAGGCGCGAAAGCCAGGGGAGCAA
rnacentral:rRNA from 1 species